rnacentral:rRNA from 1 species
UACGGAGGGUGCAAGCGUUGUCCGGAUUUAUUGGGGUUUAAAGGGUGCGUAGGCGGCCCGUUAAGUCAGUGGUGAAAGCCUCCAGCUCAACUGGAGAACUGCCAUUGAUACUGACGGGCUUGAGUACAGACGAGGUUGGCGGAAUUGAUGGUGUAGCGGUGAAAUGCAUAGAUACCAUCAAGAACUCCGAUUGCGUAGGCAGCUAACUAGGCUGUAACUGACGCUGAGGCACGAAAGCGUGGGGAGCGAACAGG